rnacentral:rRNA from 1 species
CCUACGGGUGGCAGCAGUAGGGAAUAUUGCUCAAUGGGGGAAACUCUGACGCAGCAACGCCGCGUGGAUGAUGAAGGUUUUCGGAUUGUAAACUCCUUUUGUUAGAGAAGAUAAUGCCGGUAUCAAACGAAUAAUCACCGGCUAACUCCGUGCCAGCAGCCGCGGUAAUAAUGAGGGUGCAAGCGUUACUCGGAAUCACUGGGCGUAAAGAGUGCGUAGGCGGGAUGGCAAGUCAGAUGUGAAAUCAUAUGGCUUAACCAUAGAACUGCAAUUGAAACUGUUAUUCUAGAGUAUGGGAGUGGUAGGUGGAAUUCUUGGUGUAGGGGUAAAAUCCGUAGAGAUCAAGAGGAAUACUCAUUGCGAAGGCGAACUGCUAGAACAUAACUGACGCUGAUGCGCGAAAGCGUGGGGAGCAAACAGGAUUAGAUACCCCAGUAGUC